rnacentral:rRNA from 1 species
GAUGAACGCUGGCGGCGUGCCUAAUACAUGCAAGUCGAGCGAAUGGAUUAAGAGCUUGCUCUUAUGAAGUUAGCGGCGGACGGGUGAGUAACACGUGGGUAACCUGCCCAUAAGACUGGGAUAACUCCGGGAAACCGGGGCUAAUACCGGAUAACAUUUUGAACCGCAUGGUUCGAAAUUGAAAGGCGGCGUCGGCUGUCACUUAUGGAUGGACCCGCGUCGCAUUAGCUAGUUGGUGAGGUAACGGCUCACCAAGGCAACGAUGCGUAGCCGACCUGAGAGGGUGAUCGGCCACACUGGGACUGAGACGCGGCCCAGACUCCUACGGGAGGCAGCAGUAGGGAAUCUUCCGCAAUGGACGAAAGUCUGACGGAGCAGCGCCGCGUGAGUGAUGAAGGCUUUCGGGUCGUAAAACUCUGUUGUUAGGGAAGAACAAGUGCUAGUUGAAUAAGCUGGCACCUUGACGGUACCUAACCAGAAAGCCACGGCUAACUACGUGCCAGCCGCCGCGGUAA